CAGAGAGAUCUGACGUACUGAUGAUAGCACGCUAUUCGUGCAGCAGCGCGUAUACGGGAGUGCAGCGUAUCGGAAUUAUUGGGCGUAAAGCGUCCGCAGCACCUUCAAGUCUGCUGUUAAAAAGUGGAGCUUAACUCCAUCAUGGCAGUGGAAACUGUUGGGCUGAGUGUGGUAGGGGCAGAGGGAAUUCCCGGUGUAGCGGUGAAAUGCGUAGAUAUCGGGAAGAACACCAGUGGCGAAGGCGCUCUGCUGGGCCAUCACUGACGCUCAUGGACGAAAGCCAGGGGAGCGAAAGGGAUUAGAUACCCCUGUAGUCCUGGCCGUAAACGAUGAACACUAGGUGUCGGGGGAAUCGACCCCCUCGGUGUCGUAGCCAACGCGUUAAGUGUUCCGCCUGGGGAGUACGCACGCAAGUGUGAAACUCAAAGGAAUUGACGGGGGCCCGCACAAGCGGUGGAGUAUGUGGUUUAAUUCGAUGCAACGCGAAGAACCUUACCAGGGUUUGACAUCCUGCGAAUCUCUUGGAAACGAGAGAGUGCCUUCGGGAACGCAGUGACAGGUGGUGCAUGGCUGUCGUCAGCUCGUGUCGUGAGAUGUUGGGUUAAGUCCCGCAACGAGCGCAACCCACGUCUUUAGUUGCCAGCAUUUAGUUGGGCACUCUAGAGAGACCGCCGGUGAUAAACCGGAGGAAGGUGUGGAUGACGUCAAGUCAUCAUGCCCCUUACAUCCUGGGCUACACACGUACUACAAUGCUACGGACAAAGGGCAGCAAGUUCGCGAGGACAAGCAAAUCCCAUAAACCGUGGCUCAGUUCAGAUCGUAGGCUGCAACUCGCCUACGUGAAGGAGGAAUCGCUAGUAAUCGCAGGUCAGCAUACUGCGGUGAAUACGUUCCCGGGCCUUGUACACACCGCCCGUCACACCAUGGAAGUUGGCCACGCCCGAAGCCGUUACUCCAACCCUCG
rnacentral:rRNA from 1 species